rnacentral:rRNA from 1 species
UACGUAGGGAGCAAGCGUUGUCCGGAUUUAUUGGGCGUAAAGAGCUCGUAGGCGGCUUAGAAAGUCAGGUGUGAAACCUCCAGGCUCAACCUGGAGACGCCACUUGAUACUUCUAUGGCUUGAGUUCGGUAGGGGUAGACGGAAUUCCUGGUGUAGCGGUGAAAUGCGCAGAUAUCAGGAGGAACACCGAUGGCGAAGGCAGUCUACUGGGCCGAUACUGACGCUGAGGAGCGAAAGCGUGGGGAGCGAACAGG